UACGUAGGGUGCAAGCGUUGUCCGGAAUUAUUGGGCGUAAAGAGCGCGCAGGCGGUCGUUCAAGUCGAGUGUGAAAGCCCCCGGCUCAACUGGGGAGGGUCAUUCGAUACUGAUCGACUGGAAGGCAGGAGAGGGAAGCGGAAUUCCCGGUGUAGUGGUGAAAUGCGUAGAUAUCGGGAGGAACACCAGUGGCGAAGGCGGCUUCCUGGCCUGUUCUUGACGCUGAGGCGCGAAAGCUAGGGGAGCAAACGGG
rnacentral:rRNA from 1 species